rnacentral:rRNA from 1 species
GACGAACGCUGGCGGCGUGCUUAACACAUGCAAGUCGUACGGUAAGGCCUUUCGGGGGUUCCCGAGUGGGCAACGGGUGAGGAAAACCUGAGUAAACCGCCCCCAAACUUGGGGUAAAGCCUGGAAACCGGGGCCAAUUCCGGAAUUGUGCUUCUGCCGCCUGGGGGGGGGUGGGAAGGCCCGGCGGUUGUGGGUGGACUCGCGGCCUAUCAGCUUGUUGGUGGGGGAGUGGCCUUCCAAGGCGGCGACGGGUAGCCGGCCUGGGAGGGUGACCGGCCACAUUGGGACUGAGAUACGGCCCAGACUCCUACGGGAGGCAGCAGUGGGGAAUAUUGCACAAUGGGCGCAAGCCUGAUGCAGCAACGCCGCGUGCGGGAUGACGGCCUUCGGGUUGUAAACCGCUUUCAGCAGGGACGAAGCUUUUUGUGACGGUACCUGCAGAAGAAGCACCGGCUAACUACGUG